ACCUUUGUGAUGUAGUGGUCAGCAUGCUGGGCUUGUAUUCCAGAGGUCUGUGGUUCGUAUCCCGGCGAAGGCG
rnacentral:tRNA from 1 species